CAUCUGAACAGGGAGCACCGGGCAACCACAAACCCCCAAGCUCGAGGUGCCUGACAACUUGAUGCAAAGAUGGGAGCUGACUGGAUGGAGGAGUGUGAAGUUCAGACGACCAGCCGAGGUAUCUGAACAGAACCACUAAGGACAGAAAUGGUCAGAUCCCAGGAUUCCCCUUGUGCGGCAGUGAGCCGAGCCUGUGUGAAGGGAGAGAACCUCAGACUCCUCCAGAUGGGAAGACGGAGUAGGAAAAUUGCUGGGAGGACAUGCUACUCAGGGCCUUUGCAAGAUGCCGGCCUCCUGAUGAAUAUUAGCUCAUGGCAGAAAGAAGAAACGCUCUGUGGUCUUCAAUGACAGCCACCUCAGCGAUUAGAGAAGAGAAAGUGACGAACUCAAGGCUUCUUCAUCAAUGGGCUCUGCCAGUAAGCCAAUAGAGGGCUCAGUGGCCAUUACUGACCCUCCCAGGAAAGCUUCCAGAGUGGAGACUGAAGAAGCAUGGCACAGACACACAGCAGUAUAAUUCAAGCGACUAAAAUAAACUCAGCGAGCCUGCCUCGUCUCUAAACACUGCAUACAUUUAAGUGCUAUUUUGACAAGAGAGCAUGGUGGCUUUUUAAGAAUUUAAUUUUUCAAACUCCGGUACAAUUCUGUUCUUCUAACAGCAUCCCCCGGUGUCUGUGUUGGCUCCUAGUGAGAUCAUUAUGAAGUGAAUUGAAUUAUUGUUCUGUUCAAAUGACCUGUGCGUUCAACAAUGUGUGCUGGGCACCAGAAAGAAGUGUUUUAUGUAUUAUUGGGAGAUGGCCAUCUGUGGCACAAACCAGGCCUUCCAACAUGCAGAAAUGUUGCGAGAUAGUUUAUGUUCAGUUUUAUCUAUGAUCUGAAUUCCAUUUAUAAGCUUUUUCAGCCACUUGUCAACACUGUUCACUAUAGCAACACUGAAAAUGGCCAGAAAGGAACAGAUUUAUCAAAGCUUGGGAGGUUGGACUGUAUGUUUCAAUUAUUGUAUAUUGGAUUUUUAUCAUACAUUUAAAAUUCUGUCCAUAAAAAUAGUAACAAUGUCAUAAAAAUGGAAGUAGUUUUCUUUGAUCAACUUCCAAUUAUUAUAAGCCACAAAAUGAACAAGCUAGAUUUCAUGACUUUUAUUAGAUAAUGGGUCUCACAUUAUAUAUGUAUAUUUUAAAUAUAACAUUAUCUGUCGAUGCCAAGGAACAUGGAUUAAUUUUUUUCAAAUCUGGAAAACAUUCCUCUCCCCUUUCCUGCAUAUGCGAUGGAACAGCAUGGCAAUGUGUAAAAUUAAAUUUUAAAAUUGUGGAAUAUAUUUAAACCAUACCCUCCCAACCUUUCCCUAUCUUUUUAAAAGUAAACUUUUGUUAAUACCGGGGGAAUGUUGGACCAAAUGUAUGUUUUUAUAUAAAGCAAAUAUACUUGGUUAUCUAUAUCAUAGAAUUAAAAGACUUUCAGAUA